CCUACGGGAGUCAGCAGUGAGGAAUAUUGGUCAAUGGACGAGAGUCUGAACCAGCCAAGUAGCGUGAAGGAUGACUGCCCUAUGGGUUGUAAACUUCUUUUAUAUGGGAAUAAAACGUUCCACGUGUGGGAUUUUGUAUGUACCAUAUGAAUAAGGAUCGGCUAACUCCGUGCCAGCAGCCGCGGUAAUACGGAGGAUCCGAGCGUUAUCCGGAUUUAUUGGGUUUAAAGGGAGCGUAGGUGGAUUGGUAAGUCAGUUGUGAAAGUUUGCGGCUCAACCGUAAAAUUGCAGUUGAAACUGGCAGUCUUGAGUACAGUAGAGGUGGGCGGAAUUCGUGGUGUAGCGGUGAAAUGCUUAGAUAUCACGAAGAACUCCGAUUGCGAAGGCAGUUCACUGGACUGCAACUGACACUGAGGCUCGAAAGUGUGGGUAUCAAACAGGAUUAGAUACCCGGGUAGUC
rnacentral:rRNA from 1 species